rnacentral:rRNA from 1 species
UUUGGUUAAGUUAGAAAGGGCGCACGGUGGAUGCCUUGACACUAGGAGUCGAUGAAGGACGGGACUAACGCCGAUAUGCUUCGGGGAGCUGUAAGUAAGCUUUGAUCCGAAGAUUUCCGAAUGGGGAAACCCACUAUACGUAAUGGUAUGGUAUCCUUACCUGAAUACAUAGGGUAUGGAAGACAGACCCAGGGAACUGAAACAUCUAAGUACCUGGAGGAAGAGAAAGCAAAUGCGAUUUCCUGAGUAGCGGCGAGCGAAACGGAACAUAGCCCAAACCAAGAGGCUUGCCUCUUGGGGUUGUAGGACAUUCUAUACGGAGUUACAAAGGAACGAGGUAGACGAAGCGACCUGGAAAGGUCCGUCGUAGAGGGUAACAACCCCGUAGUCGAAACUUCGUUCUCUCUUGAAUGUAUCCUGAGUACGGCGGAACACGUGAAAUUCCGUCGGAAUCUGGGAGGACCAUCUCCCAAGGCUAAAUACUCCCUAGUGAUCGAUAGUGAACCAGUACCGUGAGGGAAAGGUGAAAAGCACCCCGGAAGGGGAGUGAAAGAGAUCCUGAAACCGUGUGCCUACAAAUAGUCAGAGCCCGUUAAUGGGUGAUGGCGUGCCUUUUGUAGAAUGAACCGGCGAGUUACGAUCCCGUGCAAGGUUAAGCUGAAGAGGCGGAGCCGCAGCGAAAGCGAGUCUGAAUAGGGCGUUUAGUACGUGGUCGUAGACCCGAAACCAGGUGAUCUACCCAUGUCCAGGGUGAAGUUCAGGUAACACUGAAUGGAGGCCCGAACCCACGCACGUUGAAAAGUGCGGGGAUGAGGUGUGGGUAGCGGAGAAAUUCCAAUCGAACCUGGAGAUAGCUGGUUCUCCCCGAAAUAGCUUUAGGGCUAGCCUUAAGUGUAAGAGUCUUGGAGGUAGAGCACUGAUUGAACUAGGGGUCCUCAUCGGAUUACCGAAUUCAGUCAAACUCCGAAUGCCAAUGACUUAUCCUUAGGAGUCAGACUGCGAGUGAUAAGAUCCGUAGUCAAGAGGGAAACAGCCCAGAUCGCCAGCUAAGGUCCCAAAGUGUGUAUUAAGUGGAAAAGGAUGUGGAGUUGCUUAGACAACUAGGAUGUUGGCUUAGAAGCAGCCACCAUUUAAAGAGUGCGUAAUAGCUCACUAGUCGAGUGACUCUGCGCCGAAAAUGUACCGGGGCUAAAUACACCACCGAAGCUGCGAAUUGAUACCAAUGGUAUCAGUGGUAGGGGAGCGUUCUAAGUGCAGUGAAGUCAGACCGGAAGGACUGGUGGAGCGCUUAGAAGUGAGAAUGCCGGUAUGAGUAGCGAAAGACGGGUGAGAAUCCCGUCCACCGAAUGCCUAAGGUUUCCUGAGGAAGGCUCGUCCGCUCAGGGUUAGUCAGGACCUAAGCCGAGGCCGACAGGCGUAGGCGAUGGACAACAGGUUGAUAUUCCUGUACCACCUCUUUAUCGUUUGAGCAAUGGAGGGACGCAGAAGGAUAGAAGAAGCGUGCGAUUGGUUGUGCACGUCCAAGCAGUUAGGCUGAUAAGUAGGCAAAUCCGCUUAUCGUGAAGGCUGAGCUGUGAUGGGGAAGCUCCUUAUGGAGCGAAGUCUUUGAUUCCCCGCUGCCAAGAAAAGCUUCUAGCGAGAUAAAAGGUGCCUGUACCGCAAACCGACACAGGUAGGCGAGGAGAGAAUCCUAAGGUGUGCGAGAGAACUCUGGUUAAGGAACUCGGCAAAAUGACCCCGUAACUUCGGGAGAAGGGGUGCUUUCUUAACGGAAAGCCGCAGUGAAUAGGCCCAAGCGACUGUUUAGCAAAAACACAGCUCUCUGCGAAGCCGUAAGGCGAAGUAUAGGGGGUGACACCUGCCCGGUGCUGGAAGGUUAAGGAGAGGGGUUAGCGUAAGCGAAGCUCUGAACUGAAGCCCCAGUAAACGGCGGCCGUAACUAUAACGGUCCUAAGGUAGCGAAAUUCCUUGUCGGGUAAGUUCCGACCCGCACGAAAGGUGUAACGAUUUGGGCACUGUCUCAACCAGAGACUCGGUGAAAUUAUAGUACCUGUGAAGAUGCAGGUUACCCGCGACAGGACGGAAAGACCCCGUGGAGCUUUACUGUAGCCUGAUAUUGAAUUUUGGUACAGUUUGUACAGGAUAGGCGGGAGCCAUUGAAACCGGAGC